rnacentral:rRNA from 1 species
CCCUUAGAUGUUCUGGGCUGCGCGCGUGCUACACUGAUAUUGCCAAUAUGUCAUUCUUAUCCGAAAUGGAUUGGGUAAUCAAGUAAUGAAAUUUCAUGCUUGGAAUCGGUAAUUGCAAUUUUAUCGUGAACGAGGAAUUCCUAGUAAGCACUAGUCAUCAGCUAAUGUUGAUUAUGUCCCUGCCCUUUGUACACACCGCCCGUCGCUACUACUGAUUGGGUGUUCAAGUGAGAUGCUUAGACCCUUGUUGCAUGGUUCAUUAUUGUGCUCCGAAAGGAAAAAGUUUCAAGCUUGAGUGUCUAGAGGAAGUAAAAGCCGUAACA